rnacentral:rRNA from 1 species
GACGAACGCUGGCGGCGUGCCUAAUACAUGCAAGUAGAACGCUGAAGGAGGAGCUUGCUUCUCCGGAUGAGUUGCGAACGGGUGAGUAACGCGUAGGUAACCUGCCUGGUAGCGGGGGAUAACUAUUGGAAACGAUAGCUAAUACCGCAUAACAGUAGAUAUUGCAUGAUAUCUGCUUGAAAGGUGCAAUUGCAUCACUACCAGAUGGACCUGCGUUGUAUUAGCUAGUUGGUGAGGUAACGGCUCACCAAGGCGACGAUACAUAGCCGACCUGAGAGGGGGAGCGGCCACACUGGGACUGAGACACGGCCCAGACUCCUACGGGAGGCAGCAGUAGGGAAUCUUCGGCAAUGGGCGGAAGUCUGACCGAGCAACGCCGCGUGAGUGAAGAAGGAUUUCGGAUCGUAAAGCUCUGUUGUAAGAGAAGAACGAGUGUGAGAGUGGAAAGUUCACACUGUGACGGUAUCUUACCAGAAAGGGACGGCUAACUACGUG